UGGCGGCGUGCCUAAUACAUGCAAGUCGAGCGGACCAAUAGAAAAGCUUGCUUUUCUUGAGGUUAGCGGCGGACGGGUGAGUAACACGUGGGCAACCUACCUGUAAGACUGGGAUAACUUACGGAAACGUGAGCUAAUACCGGAUAGUUUCACUUCUCGCAUGAGAAGUGAAGGAAAGAUGGCUUUUAGCUAUCACUUACAGAUGGGCCCGCGGCGCAUUAGCUAGUUGGUGGGGUAAAGGCCUACCAAGGCGACGAUGCGUAGCCGACCUGAGAGGGUGAUCGGCCACACUGGGACUGAGACACGGCCCAGACUCCUACGGGAGGCAGCAGUAGGGAAUCUUCCGCAAUGGACGAAAGUCUGACGGAGCAACGCCGCGUGAGCGAAGAAGGUCUUCGGAUCGUAAAGCUCUGUUGUUAGGGAAGAACAAGUACCGGAGUAACUGUCGGUACCUUGACGGUACCUAACCAGAAAGCCACGGCUAAC
rnacentral:rRNA from 1 species